rnacentral:rRNA from 1 species
GAUGAACGCUGGCGGCGUGCCUAAUACAUGCAAGUCGAGCGAACGGACGAGAAGCUUGCUUCUCUGAUGUUAGCGGCGGACGGGUGUGUAACACGUGGAUAACCUACCUAUCAGACUGGGAUAACUUCGGGAAACCGGAGCUAAUACCGGAUAAUAUUUUGAACCGCAUGGUUCAAUAGUGAAAGACGGUCUUGCUGUCACUUAUAGAUGGAUCCGCGCUGCAUUAGCUAGUUGGUAAGGUAACGGCUUACCAAGGCAACGAUGCAUAGCCGACCUGAGAGGGUGAUCGGCCACACUGGAAGUGAGACACGGUCCAGAGUCCUACGGGAGGCAGCAGUAGGGAAUCUUCCGCAAUGGGCGAAAGCCUGACGGAGCAACGCCGCGUGAGUGAUGAAGGUCUUCGGAUCGUAAAACUCUGUUAUUAGGGAAGAACAUAUGUGUAAGUAACUGUGCACAUCUUGACGGUACCUAAUCAGAAAGCCACGGCUAACUACGUG